rnacentral:rRNA from 1 species
AUUGAACGCUGGCGGCAGGCCUAACACAUGCAAGUCGAGCGGAUGAAGGGAGCUUGCUCCUGGAUUCAGCGGCGGACGGGUGAGUAAUGCCUAUGAAUCUGCCUGGUAGUGGGGGAUAACGUCCGGAAACGGGCGCUAAUACCGCAUACUUCCUGAGGGAGAAAGCGGGGGAUCUUCGGACCUCACGCUAUCAGAUGAGCCUAGGUCGGAUUAGCUAGUUGGUGGGGUAAAGGCAUACCAAGGCGACGAUCCGUAACUGGUCUGAGAGGAUGAUCAGUCACACUGGAACUGAGACACGGUCCAGACUCCUACGGGAGGCAGCAGUAGGGAAUAUUGGACUAGGGGCGAAAGCCUGAUCCAGCCAUGCCGAGUGUGUGAAGAAGGUCUUCGGAUUGUAAAGCACUUUCAGUUGGGAGGAAGGGAAGUAAGUUCAUACCUUGCUGUUUUGACGUUACCAACAGAAUAAGCACCGGCUAACUUCGUG